rnacentral:rRNA from 1 species
CCUACGGGGGGCAGCAGUGGGGAAUAUUGGACAAUGGGCGAAAGCCUGAUCCAGCCAUGCCGCGUGUGUGAAGAAGGCCUUCGGGUUGUAAAGCACUUUCAGUGGGGAAGAAAGCCUUGGGGCUAAUACCCUCGAGGAAGGACAUCACCCACAGAAGAAGCACCGGCUAACUCCGUGCCAGCAGCCGCGGUAAUACGGAGGGUGCGAGCGUUAAUCGGAAUUACUGGGCGCAAAGCGCGCGUAGGCGGUCUGAUAAGCCGGUUGUGAAAGCCCCGGGCUCAACCUGGGAACGGCAUCCGGAACUGUCAGGCUAGAGUGCAGGAGAGGAAGGUAGAAUUCCCGGUGUAGCGGUGAAAUGCGUAGAGAUCGGGAGGAAUACCAGUGGCGAAGGCGGCCUUCUGGACUGACACUGACGCUGAGGUGCGAAAGCGUGGGUAGCAAACAGGAUUAGAUACCCGUGUAGUC